CCCCAGGUCAAACGGGACUACCCGCUGAGU
rnacentral:rRNA from 1 species